UACAACUGACGAAAUUAAAACUAAAAGAUACCCAAGAAACACAGAUCGUAUGCGAUCAUAUCACAUGCUUUUGUUUAGUAAAGUUACGUAGGAACAGUUGCCAUGGGAACAGAAGAGGGCAGUAGGGCGGAUUCGUCGGGGUGUUUUUAUCCGAGUGAUGAGGAAAUUGAGAAAUGGAUGGACAGCGCUUUUGACAUGGCCAAAGACGCUCUGGAGAAUGGAGAGGUGCCGGUUGGAUGUCUGAUGGUCUACAACGAUGAAGUCGUGGGCAAAGGACGGAAUGAAGUCAACGAGACCAAAAAUGCCACUCGCCACGCUGAGAUGGUGGCCCUGGACCAGCUCCUGGACUGGUGUCGGCGUGGCAACCUGGAUGUGAGCAUCGUGUGCGAGCGAACGGCCCUGUAUGUCACCGUGGAGCCGUGCAUCAUGUGUGCUGCAGCGCUGCGCCUGCUCAGUAUCCUGCACCAACCUCUGCAUGUGUGUGUGUAUAUGUGUGCAGCUGUUGUUCCUUCACCAGCUGUCAGGUAUCCCUGUGGUCGUGUACGGCUGCAGGAACGAGCGCUUUGGAGGCUGUGGUUCAGUCGUGGACGUUUCCUCUGCAGACUUACCUCAGACUGGGACCACAUUCAAGGUCCGUGUUCGUCCCUGGUGGUUUUUAUUUGUGUGUUCUUGUUCACUGUGCUUGUGUGUUGAUGUUUGUGGUGUUUCCCUGCAGCCAGAUUCAAAGUGUGUAUAGGACCGUGUGUCUUGUGUGUGUGUUCAGUGUGUUUCAGGUCACAGAGCAGAAGAAGCUGUAGAGAUGCUGAAGACUUUCUACAAACAGGAGAAUCCAAACGCUCCGAAACCCAAAACAAGGAAGGACUGAGCAUCAGCUGUACAUUACAUCAUUAUCUUGUUUGUAUUUACCUCA